rnacentral:rRNA from 1 species
AAUAUUGCGCAAUGGAGGAAACUCUGACGCAGCGACGCCGCGUGAGCGAUGAAGGUCUUCGGAUCGUAAAGCUCUGUCCUUGGGGAGGAAGGUAUUCGGCCUGGACGGUCCCCAGGGAGGAAGCCCCGGCUACCUACGUGCCAGAAGCCGCGGUAAUACGUAGGGGGCAGGCGUUGUCCGGAAUUAUUGGGCGUAAAGGGUGCGUAGGCGGCCUUUUAAGUCAGAUGUGAAAGCCCACGGCUCAACCGUGGGAUUGCAUUUGAAACUGGAGGGCUUGAGUAUCGGAGAGGGUAGUGGAAUUCCCAGUGUAGCGGUGAAAUGCGUAGAUAUUGGGAGGAACACCAGUGGCGAAGGCGACUACCUGGACGAUUACUGACGCUGAUGCACGAAAGCUAGGGGAGCAAACA